AGCGUAUAUUAAAGUUGUUGCAGUUAAAAAGCUCGUAGUUGAAUUUCGGGAUCAAUACGUCGGUCGUGCUUUCGGGUACGUACUGGCGUCAUUGGUUUCUCCUUUCUGACGAACCAUGAUGUCAUUAAUUUGGUGUUAUGGGGAGUUAGGACUGUUACUUUGAAAAAAUUAGAGUGUUUAAAGCAGGCAUUAGCUUGAAUACAUUAGCAUGGAAUAAUGAAAUAGGACGUUCGAUCCUAUUUUGUUGGUUUCUAGGAUUAACGUAAUGAUUAAUAGGGAUAGUUGGGGGCAUUAGUAUUCAAUUGUCAGAGGUGAAAUUCUUGGAUUUAUUGAAGACUAACUACUGCGAAAGCAUUUGCCAAGGAUGUUUUCAUUAAUCAAGAACGAAAGUUAGGGGAUCGAAGACGAUCAGAUACCGUCGUAGUCUUAACCAUAAACUAUGCCGACUAGGGAUCGGAUGAUGUUAAUUUUUUAAUGACUC
rnacentral:rRNA from 1 species